UACAGAGGGGGCAAGCGUUGUUCGGAAUUACUGGGCGUAAAGCGCACGUAGGCGGACUUGUCAGUCAGGGGUGAAAUCCCGGGGCUCAACCUCGGAACUGCCUCUGAUACAGCAAGUCUCGAGUCCGGAAGAGGUGGGUGGAAUUCCUAGUGUAGAGGUGAAAUUCGUAGAUAUUAGGAAGAACACCAGUGGCGAAGGCGACAUACUGGUCCGUUACUGACGCUGAGGCUCGAAAGCGUGGGGAGCAAACAGG
rnacentral:rRNA from 1 species